rnacentral:rRNA from 1 species
AGAGUUUGAUCAUGGCUCAGGACGAACGCUGGCGGCGUGCUUAACACAUGCAAGUCGAACGAUGAAGGGGUGCUUGCACCUUGGAUUAGUGGCGAACGGGUGAGUAACACGUGAGUGAUCUGCCCUCCACUUUGGGAUAAGCCUUGGAAACGGGGUCUAAUACCGAAUAUUCCUGUUUGGCCGCAUGGCUGGGUGGGGAAAGGGUUUCUGGUGGGGGAUGUGCUCGCGGCCUAUCAACUGGACGAUGGGGUAAUGGCCUACCGUGGUUUUGACGGGUAGCCGGCCUGAGAGGGCGACCGGCCACACUGGGACUGAGACACGGCCCAGACUCCUACGGGAGGCAGCAGUGGGGAAUAUUGCACAAUGGGCGCAAGCCUGAUGCAGCGACGCCGCGUGGGGGAUGACAGCCUUCGGGUUGUAAACCCCUUUCAGCACAGAAGAAGCGAAAGUGACGGUAUGUGCUAAAGAAGCGCCGGCUAACUACGUGCCAGCAGCCGCGGUAAUACGUAGGGCGCAAGCGUUGUCCGGAAUUAUUGGGCGUAAAGAGCUCGUAGGCGGCUUGUCGCGUCUGGUGUGAAAUCUCCUGGCUCAACUAGGAGCGUGCAUCGGGUACGGGCAGGCUAGAAUACUGUAGGGGUAACUGGAAUUCCUGGUGUAGCGGUGGAAUGCGCAGAUAUCAGGAGGAACACCGAUGGCGAAGGCAGGUUACUGGGCAGUUAUUGACGCUGAGGAGCGAAAGCAUGGGGAGCGAACAGGAUUAGAUACCCUGGUAGUCCAUGCCGUAAACGUUGGGAACUAGUUGUGGGGUCCAUUCCACGGAUUCCGUGACGCAGCUAACGCAUUAAGUUCCCCGCCUGGGGAGUACGGCCGCAAGGCUAAAACUCAAAGGAAUUUGACGGGGGCCCGCACAAGCGGCGGAGCAUGCGGAUUAAUUCGAUGCAACGCGAAGAACCUUACCAAGGCUUGACAUACACCGGACAGCCGUAGAGAUACGGUUUUCUUCGGACUGGUGUACAGGUGGUGCAUGGUUGUCGUCAGCUCGUGUCGUGAGAUGUUGGGUUAAGUCCCGCAACGAGCGCAACCCUUGUCCUAUGUUGCCAGCGGGUUAUGCCGGGGACUCAUGGGAGACUGCCGGGGUCAACUCGGAGGAAGGUGGGGAUGACGUCAAAUCAUCAUGCCCCUUAUGUCUUGGGCUUCACGCAUGCUACAAUGGCCGGUACAGACCGUUGCGAUCUCGUAAGGGGGAGCGAAUCGGAAAAAGCCGGUCUCAGUUCGGAUUGGGGUCUGCAACUCGACCCCAUGAAGUCGGAGUCGCUAGUAAUCGCAGAUCAGCAACGCUGCGGUGAAUACGUUCCCGGGCCUUGUACACACCGCCCGU